rnacentral:rRNA from 1 species
AGCGAACGCUGGCGGCAGGCCUAACACAUGCAAGUCGAACGAACCUUUCGGGGUUAGUGGCGGACGGGUGAGUAACACGUGGGAACGUGCCUUUAGGUUCGGAAUAACUCAGGGAAACUUGUGCUAAUACCGAAUGUGCCCUUCGGGGGAAAGAUUAAUCGCCUUUAGAGCGGCCCGCGUCUGAUUAGCUAGUUGGUUGAGGUAAUGGCUCACCAAGGCGACGAUCAGUAGCUGGUCUGAGAGGAUGAUCAGCCACAUUGGGACUGAGACACGGCCCAAACUCCUACGGGAGGCAGCAGUGGGGAAUCUUGCGCAAUGGGCGAAAGCCUGACGCAGCCAUGCCGCGUGAAUGAUGAAGGUCUUAGGAUUGUAAAAUUCUUUCACCGGGGACGAUAAUGACGGUACCCGUAGAAGAAGCCCCGGCUAACUUCGUG